rnacentral:rRNA from 1 species
AUUGAACGCUGGCGGCAGGCCUAACACAUGCAAGUCGAACGAGUGGCGGACGGGUGAGUAAUGUCUGGGAAACUGCCCGAUGGAGGGGGAUAACUACUGGAAACGGUAGCUAAUACCGCAUACCCUCGGAUGUGCCCAGAGGGGCUUCGCUAGUAGGUGGGGUAACGGCUCACCUAGGCGACGAUCCCUAGCUGGUCUGAGAGGAUGACCAGCAAAAUUGGAAUUGAGACACGGCCCAGACGCCUACGGGAGGCAGCAGUGGGGAAUAUUCCAAAAUGGGCGCAAGCCUGAUGCAGCCAUGCCGCGUGUAUGAAGAAGGCCUGCGGGUUGUAAAGUACUUUCAUCGAGGAGGCGGUACUCGAAGAAGAAGCACCGGCUAACUCCGUGCCAGCAGCCGCGGUAAUAC